CCUGAUCUGCGGGCCCAUCGCCUCGUCAGCUCAUCUUCAAUCUCCAGCCGGAAAAGAAUCCCGUGAGUGCGCGUCCGUUUCUGCCGUUUAUUUCCCAAAUUAAUUGCCGGUGAUUUAAACCACCAUUUGACGCACCGUUUCUUCCUACUUAAGCUCCAUUCUCUCCUCUUCAUUUCCCCUCACUCACCACAGACCGAGAGUCCCCAGGCUGCUCGAAUUCGGCCUCGCAAGUCCGCUGUACCAUCACAGUAAAUCGUCAAUUCCGUCUCCGGCGAGCGAUUUCUGGCGAACUACUGCACCUUAACGUCCGCUACCUCGUCAUAGAGUUCGCCUUGUCAAGCCGAACGCCGCUUCACCGUCGCCAGGGAUCAUUGAGGAUUGUCGACGCCAUCAACCACCGAAGCCACAUGACCAGCGACGUUCUGUUCCAUCAUUGUGGUUGUGCUGAUUGCAACGAGUGUUUCUGCGAAGAGUGUACCAAC